CGGGAACGUCUGACACAGGUGCUGCAUGGCUGUCGUCAGCUCGUGUCGUGAGAUGUUGGGUUAAGUCCGUAACGGGCGCAACCCUUGUCCUUAGUUACCAGCACGUUAUGGUGGGCGACUCUAAGGAGACUGCCGGUGGCAAACCGGAGGAAGGUGGGGGAUGACGUCAAGUCAUCAUGGCCCUUACGGCCUGGGCUACACACGUGCUACAAUGGUCGGUACAAAGGGUUGCCAAGCCGCGAGGUGGAGCUAAUCCCAUAAAACCGAUCGUAGUCCGGAUCGCAGUCUGCAACUCGACUGCGUGAAGUCGGAAUCGCUAGUAAUCGUGAAUCAGAAUGUCACGGUGAAUACGUUCCCGGGCCUU
rnacentral:rRNA from 1 species